UACAGAGGGUGCAAGCGUUGUUCGGAAUUAUUGGGCGUAAAGCGCGUGUAGGCGGCCAAGUAAGUCGGGUGUGAAAGCCCUCAGCUUAACUGAGGAAGUGCGCCCGAAACUGCAUGGCUUGAGUACCGGAGAGGAUGGCGGAAUUCCCCAAGUAGAGGUGAAAUUCGUAGAUAUGGGGAGGAACACCGGUGGCGAAGGCGGCCAUCUGGACGGAUACUGACGCUGAGACGCGAAAGCGUGGGUAGCAAACAGG
rnacentral:rRNA from 1 species